UUUUCGAUACGAAUGGAGUUCGGGAUAAGGCCGAAUAUGAUAACCUUUCUAUACUUUUUUCAACUUGUGUUUCGAUGUUAACUUUCUUUAGUUUAUAAUUUGCAAGGCUUACAAAAAAUCCACUACUGGUAUAAAAAGAUUAGAAAUGACUUUAAAAAUAAGAAAGAUAACAUUUUACUGAGUUUUACAUUUUUUUUUUUAAUAAGUACCCAUGGAACUGGACGGAAUCAUUUUUAUUGAAAUCAAAAUUUUGCAAACCUAGAAUAAAAAAGAAAUUCAAAUUGGCAAUAAAAUCCGUUCUUCUACAACACUGGAAAUGGAAUUCUUGGAUUGCGCGCGUGGAACUUUACCUACUCUUACCCAAAUAUAAUUUUAAAUACCAAAUUUUAAUUUGAAAAUAUCUCUCAAUUCAGCAUAAAUUAAUUUUUGCAAUAGUUAAAUAUUUCCGAAAACUAAAACAAUACAUAAACACAAAUGUGCCAAACAAAAAAAAAGAUAAAAGGUACCCAUCUGAUCAAUCUUGUCUAAUCUUAAAAAAAGAAUACAUAAAGAGAUAUUAUAAAGUAUUUUCUUUUAUACAAAAAAAAAAAAAAACAAAAAAUUACUCCGAAACAAUCAGAAACACAAACACAGAGAGAGACAGACAAAGUUAAAAACAAAACAAACAAAAUAUUACACAAAACCACAGUUAAAUAGAAAUCAAUACAAUGAAUAUACGAGUAGUAAAUAAAAUUUAACAAAUUAAAAAAAAACAAUAAUUUUGUUAAUGUAUAUAAAAAAAAUGUAGUAAGUUUUUGAAUUGUAUUUGUAUUAUCGCAUACAAAAAUGGAAGAGACCAGUAAUGUAACUUAUAAAAAAAAAAAAUACCAAAUUAAGAAAAAAACAUAAAAAUAUCAUUGAAUGAAAUGCAUAUAUUUCCAUAUUGAAUAUGAAAUUGACAAAAAAAAAAUAAAAAUGAAAUAUUUAACAAUACCGAAAGACAAAAGAAAUCUAAGAAAAUGACGAAAAAUUUAUUUUCAUAUGUGAAAAUGUAAAACAAACAAAAAAAAAAUAAAUGUAAUUAAAAAUAAAAAUUAAAAGCUAAAAAUUUUCGUUAAAAAUUAAAUUUAAAAAAAAAAGUAAAACAAAAUGUUAAAUACAAAAUGGCUUACAUAAAAAUAAAAUUUAUUUUUACAAAUCUACGCAAAAAAUAAAACUGUAAUUCCAUAUUUUUGUUACGUUAAUUUAAAAAAAAAAAACUUAAAACAAGAAAGUAAAAUUUAUUUAUUUAGUCAAAUUGAUCGCUAAUUAAAUGUCGUGAAAGCAUCUAAUUUUUAGUUUACCUAUAUAGAAUGUAAGAUAGAUUUAAAAAAACAAAAAAAGAAAGAACCAUAGUUUUAAGUAAAACAAGUAGAAACAAGGAGAUUAGAUUUCAAUAUGAAAAGUAAUAGUAAUCAAGUAUAUAGGCUAAGGAUAUUUGUUUUAAAAUUUAAAAGAAAAACAUAAAACAAUUUAUUCCACUACAAAAGCAUUAAGUUUUCUUAUUUAUAUAUUUUUUUUAAAACAAUAUUGAUAAAUAUGAAACAUAUUUUUUAAGUGAAGAAUUUAAAUAAGAAAAAAAAAACAACAGUAGACGAAUGACUAAGAUUAAAAAACAAAAA